rnacentral:rRNA from 1 species
CCGGCACGGGUGAGUAACACGUAUGCAAUCCACCUGUAACAGGGGGAUAACCCGGAGAAAUCCGGACUAAUACCCCAUAAUAUGGGCGCUCCGCAUGGAGAGCCCAUUAAAGAGAGCAAUUUUGGUUACAGACGAGCAUGCGCUCCAUUAGCCAGUUGGCGGGGUAACGGCCCACCAAAGCGACGAUGGAUAGGGGUUCUGAGAGGAAGGUCCCCCACAUUGGAACUGAGACACGGUCCAA